rnacentral:rRNA from 1 species
UACAGAGGGCUCAAGCGUUGUUCGGAUUCAUUGGGCGUAAAGGGCGCGUAGGCGGCGCGGUAAGUCACUUGUGAAAUCUCUGAGCUUAACUCAGAACGGCCAAGUGAUACUGCAGUGCUAGAGUGCAGAAAGGGCAAUCGGAAUUCUUGGUGUAGCGGUGAAAUGCGUAGAUAUCAAGAGGAACACCUGAGGCGAAGGCGGGUUGCUAGGCUGACACUGACGCUGAGGAGCGAAAGCGUGGGGAGCAAACAGG